UUUAGCCUCCUUUUGGGAGUGAUUUGUUUUGUUCUUAGACGUUUCAUAGCCUUUAGCCUCCUUGAGAGUGAUUUUUUGUUUUAUUUUAUCAUAGCAUUGUUUCAUAGCCUGAUUAUUUUGUCCUUGGGAAGAGGCUCACUAAAAUCAGAAACAAUGGAGUUUGAUUACCAAGUAGUUCCUCUGCGUCUGAGUCCUGCCUUGAGUCCUGACCUGACUGUCAAAAGCAAACUGGACAAUUGAAGAAACCCAGGCUCUCAUCGAGUGGCGGGUGGCCAAUGAGAGCCUAUUCACUGGAAGGCGAAAUGCGUCCCAGACUGGAUGGGAGUGAGUAAUGAUUAUCAGUAUGUUAUCUGUCUGUGAAAGUGUUUGACAAACAUUUAGCCAUUCAACCUAUAUAUCUUUAUAAAAAGUAGCAGUGCAUGUGUGCUUAUUUUGCUCAGUGUCCUUGUUGCCACUAACCUGUGCAUCACUGCAAAGCAGGCUAACAGGAAGUGGAAUAAUCUGAAGGACAGAUACAAGGAGCUCAGACAUCCUCCCACUGGAAUAGGGGUAGAAGCUGGUAGUGUGACCGCUGCCACUUGGCAGUGGUACAGUGCCAUCCAUGGAUGCUACACUCCAGGGGCAGCAUUCAAUUACUCCACCCCUGGUUGUUGCAGCAAACACCACUGCCACCACGGGUGGUGUGCUGACCACACCACCUGUAACGGGUCAGGGAAGGACCCAAAUACAGUACACGAAGGCAGGCAGACAGUUGGUAAUGACGUUUAUUUAGCACAAUGUUCAGCGACAGUUCAAUGAAAACCCCAUGAGGAGAAGCUGGGCUCACUGGAGAUCUCUGGUUGUCAGAGCUCCGUACCGUGGAAAGCAGAGGGAACUCCUUGAGCCCAAGAUGACAAGCCCACACAAGGGAGAUGACACAAGGGAGGUCCGGUGCGGGGGCUGUGCCGCCACUGGAACAAGCAGGCUGAAUCCAUUGUCGGGGGCAGAAGGCUGAGUAGAUCACCGGGGCAGAGAAAGAGCAGGUAGGCUAUGAAAUGUGGGAUAAAAGUGUAGCACUGCUGCGUCCCUCUAUACACAGCUUCUGCUAAAUUAUGUAAUGUGUUGUUAAACACCCUUAGUAACUUCUGCAGACAUCAACUGUAGAACAACAUCUACAGUUAUCAUUGGCUGACAGCUUGCUGGAAAUAGUUGAGCUAGUUUAUUGAAAACUAGGAAGAGACCGUGCCGGUAGUCAUGAUUUUUCCCCUCUCCGUUCCAGUAGGUUGGUUAUCAUAUUCCAUUAACCUAUUUAUUUAAGCCAGUCUGUUCUCAGCCUGACACACAUGUUGUGAAAACUGUUGGGAAUAUUAGGACAUUGAAAGGUUACCAACAUGGCAUCUGAGUAUUUCCAAGGGACACCUCACAAGCCAUCGCAUUGAUGGCUUGUGUGUGCUCAGUGUACAGAAAGCAGUGAAAAGGUCAGUUUGCGAUUAAAAAAAAAAAA